rnacentral:misc_RNA from 1 species
GCAAACUUGGUCAUUUAGAGGAAGUAAAAGUCGUAACAAGGUUUCCGUAGGUGAACCUGCGGAAGGAUCAUUACCGAGUGCGGGCCCUCUGGGUCCAACCUCCCAUCCGUGUCUAUUCAUACCCUGUUGCUUCGGCGGGCCCGCCGGCUGCCCCUCCUGGGGAUGCCGGCCGCCGGGGGGCUAACCUGCCCCCGGGCCCGUGCCCGCCGGGGACACCAACACUGAACACUGUCUGAAGGUUGCAGUCUGAGUUUUCAUAAAGGAAAAUUGUUAAAACUUUCAACAACGGAUCUCUUGGUUCCGGCAUCGAUGAAGAACGCAGC